rnacentral:rRNA from 2 species
UGGGGAAUAUUGCACAAUGGGGGAAACCCUGAUGCAGCGACGCCGCGUGAACGAAGAAGGUAUUCGUAUCGUAAAGUUCUGUCCUAUGGGAAGAUAAUGACAGUACCAUAGAAGAAAGCUCCGGCUAAAUACGUGCCAGCAGCCGCGGUAAUACGUAUGGAGCGAGCGUUGUCCGGAAUUAUUGGGCGUAAAGGGUACGCAGGCGGUUUAAUAAGUCGAAUGUUAAAGAUCGGGGCUCAACCCCGUAAAGCAUUGGAAACUGAUAAACUUGAGUAGUGGAGAGGAAAGUGGAAUUCCUAGUGUAGUGGUGAAAUACGUAGAUAUUAGGAGGAAUACCAGUGGCGAAGGCGACUUUCUGGACACAAACUGACGCUGAGGUACGAAAGCGUGGGGAGCAAACAGG